GUGCCAAAGUGCACGCGUCGUCCCGAGCAACACACACAAAUACAGUGUGUUGGAGCAGCUCAGCGCAGGCAGUAUCCACCCUUCCUCAGGAUGAAAGAUGGGGACGGGAAGAGGACAAACCAGGUGGGGGUGAAAGAAACUGUGGGAGCCUGUGACAUGCAGUUUGGCAUUCAAUUGAAUGAUCUAGUGCUCUAGUGUGCCCAGAGAACUGCCUCAUAGAGAUCAGAGACAUGGACCCGAAAAGGACCGAGAACACGAGCUGAGUGGUGGAAAAGAUCAGAGGUAUUACAUGGGGUCAUGAACGACUCCAUCUUGAAGCAGCAAGGAAGAUUGAAGCAUCAAGGUGAAUCGGGAGGGGUCAGCAAUUGUUCCCAAUGGAGGCCACUGAAGUGAAUGCAGAGAACGUCAGCAAUUGCUCCCAACAGAAGUUUUCGAACCGGGCGCAAGUUCUGAGUCACGGAAGGGCUGUUUGAUGUUCUCGAAUUUAUGUGAUUGGACCGUAUUUUGUAUUAGUUUCCUUCAGUUUUUCGGUGUUUUCUUUCCUGUGGCCAAUUGGUGGGUGAGUGAUCUGAUAGGUGUAGGUAUGUGUGUGCCUACUGUUACUGUUCAUUUUUGCGAAUGAGGGGGUCAGAGCUUGUUACUGUCGCUCAUUUUUCUGUGCAGAUGUGGGGGUGGAGAUUUGUUGCUAUCUUCGCUGUUUUGUUUCUGUGGGGUGGGAGAGUUUGGGGUUUGCAAGUUGUUUUUUUUUCUUUUUCGUGCGGGGUGGGUCAACUGGCCUGGGUUGUCCUGUUGACACAUCACACAGUAGUGAGAUGCCACUGUCACCAAGAGCAAUGUUCACCCAUUUCAAUUGUGUCUGUCGAACUGCAUGCUCAGGUCCGAGGCCUGGUCUGCCACCAGCUGAGCAUAGUCCACACCUGAAUGGACAGCACCAGUGAAGGACUGGGAAAGGCAGUCAGCCACAAGGUUAUGCUUCCCUGCACCAUGCAGGAUAUCUGUGGUGAGCUCUGAAAUAAAAGGAAGAUGGUGCUGCUGUCAAGCAGACCAAAAUUUAGAGACCUUAGCCAUGGUGAAUGUUAAGGACUUUCGAUCCACAAAAGCCGUAAAUAGAUGGCUUCUAGGAGAAAGCAAAAUGUACCAAGUCCAAGUCAAGUCACUUUUAUUGUCAUUUCGACCAUAACCGCUGGUACAGUACAUAGUAAAAAUGAGACGACGUUUUUCAGGACCAUGGUGUUACAUGACACAGUACAAAAACUAGACUGAACUACGUAAAAAAAAAACACAGAGAAAGCUACACUAGACUACAGACCUAUACAGGACUGUGUAAAGUGCACAAAAACAGUGCAGGCAUUACAGUAAAUAAUAAACAGGACAAUAGGGCCAGCCGAGAAGCUUACAGUUGAACAUGUUGUAUUUGCACUUGCUGGUGGUUAAAAAAGGCCAUCGGCUGCCAAACACCAUUGACCAACAAUGCACCACAAUCCAACGCGUCUAUGGUAAGAGUGAUCAGUACAUCUGGGAACACCUUGGACCUGUCCUCCGUCCAGUCCAUGGAUGCUUUGCUCUUAGGGGCCUUGUAGAAGGGUGGCAUGAGCUGAGCCGCUCUGAUGACGAAACAGUGAUAAUAGUUCACCAUGCCCAAAACUCCUGCUGGGCUUUAACAGUGACUGGCCUAGGGAAAUGCUUAAUGGCUUCAACUUUGGUCAGCAGAGGAACUGCUGAGGAUCACAGAUAGUCAAAACUGGCACUUUGCCAGGCUGUCAAUAAGCCCGUGCUGACUAAGGCAUUCGAGAAGGAUUCUCCAGUGUAGGAGAUGUUCAUCCCUAGAAGAGCUGGCUACCAAAAUGUCGUCUAGGUAAACAAAUAGGAAUGGCAAAUCCCUGAGAACACGUCAAUGAGGUGCUGACAGGUCUGGGCCAAAUGGCAUUUGGAACACAAACUAAACAGUGUAAUAACAGCUGUUUUAGGAAGGUCACUUGGGUGGACAAGGACCUGAUGAUAACCAUGAAUGAGGUCCAGCUUUGAGAAAAUAAUUUUCCCUGUGAGGUGGGCAGAGAAAUCCUGGAUGUGAAGGUUAGAGUUUCGGUCAGGAGCCAUGACGUUGUUGAGGCGGCGGUAAUCACCACAUGGAUGCCCCCUGCACAAUGUGGAGAGGGGAAGCCCAUGGACUUCUAGACCACUUGACGGUGCCCAGGUACUCCAUGAUAUCAAACUCAGCCUUGGCGAUGGCUAACUUCUCCACCCCGUUUUUAGAGGUAGAGAAGGUAGGCUUGUCAGUGGUGGAAAGGGCAAAGGACAACUUUGAAGUGCCAGUGGCGCUGAGUGUGCCAGAUUGCGAGUAGAAAAUCUCUGCGUUGACGAGGCACCGGUUCUGGACAUUAACGAGAAGGCUGUUGACACAGAGGAAGUCGGCCCCUGAAAGGAGUAUAGUCAGUGCUACCAACACAAAAUUCCAGCAGAACUUCUGCCCACUAAAGCACAGCGCCACCUCACACUUAGAGUCCAGAUGGCACUGCUGUUCGCAACUUCAAGAGACUGUCCAUAUUUCCCACUUCAUAUGUCCAAUUAGAUGUGGGCAGGAUGGUCAGCUGAGUGCACGUGUCACAGAAGAAACAAUGCCCAGUAACAGUCUGCAAUGGACAACAAACUGCCUGACCUGCCGACCCCCAUAGCAGCGAACGAGUGCCAACCGUUCUGUUUCCCAACUCCUUGAACCUUCAGUUGGGCAACACUUGUUAGCUCUUGGCCCAAACCUCGCAUGGUAGAAGCACAGGGUAGGAGACCGUUGUUGAAUUGCAGCGAGUGUCUCAUGUUCAGGUGGCAGCAAAGUCGUCCAGCUGCAUGGCUACUCAGGCCCUUGGUGAUGGAAAACACCUCGUCAGCCUCUCUCCCCUCAAAGACCUCUGGGCUCUAGCGAGAAUCAGCCAGAGCUGACUGCACCUUGCCUGGUAGUUGUUGCAGGAAAAGCUCUCUGAAGAUGAAACACAGUUGAUAUCUGCCAAGGAGGGCCAACAUGUGGUCCAUCAACUCCAAUGGUUUGAAGUCAUCUAAGCCGGACAGUGAGAGGAGCUGACAGCCGCGCUCAGACUUGGAAAGUUCUAGGAGGAGUUGCUUAAGAGUCUCAUGCCUGCUGACUUCCAUGGGGUGCUGUAAGACGCUCGUCGCCCCGCUGACAUAGAGCUGUCUAAUGCUGCAACGACGUAAUAUUUUGUGUCAUCUUGCAAGAUUCCCCACACUGAACUGGGCCUCUGCCUGAGUGAAUCAAGUGGCAGCAUGUUCCUGCCAGAAUUCAGUGAGCUUGAGAGCAACGGUAUUUGCAGUCACGAUUGUAAGAUGAGCAAAAUCACUCCGGAAUCAUCUGGAGGAGCGUCGAAGUCACUAAUGUAGGAUUGUUGACAAAAAUUGACACGAGUGUAAUUACUUCUAACGUACAUUUUAUUCUACCAGCAAACACAUGGUGAUAUCGUAAAUAUGUAAGAAAAAUAGCCCCCCCCCCCCAAUGUAAUAACAUAUGACGUAACAUGCAACGUACACUGCGAGCUUAACCUUUAACAAUUGGGGUGAAUUCUGCCUAGUGAAAUUGAGUCCCUACAUACAUUUGGGUGUAGAAUUGAAUAUUUUAUUUGUGAAGUUAUAAAAUUGUAAUUGUAAGGCAUGAUGGAAAGGCUUAAAGAAGGAAUUGUACAGCUAACAUGUAAACCAGACACAAUGGUGUUUCUGUUGACGUUUUGGGCCGAGACCCUUCGUCAGGACUAAGGAGGGUCCUGACGAAGGGUCUCGGCCCGAAACGUCGACAGUGCUUCUCCUUAUAGAUGCUGCCUGGCCUGCUGUGUUCCAUCAGCAUUUUGUGUGUGUUGUUUGAAUUUCCAGCAUCUGUUGGAGCUAACAGGUUACCUUUGAUCUGCAAUGACAAGGACAAUAUGCUGGAGAAACUCAGCAUCCAUGGAAAGGAAUAAAGAGUCAACAUUUCAAUCAAAGACCCUUCAUCAGGACUAGAAAGAGGAAAGAAACUAGAAUAAGAUGGUAGGGGAGGGAGAAGGUGUAUAUGUGAGAAGGUGAUAGGUGAAGCCACGAGGGGGAAAGUAGGUGGGUAGGGAGGAGGGUGAAGUGAGAAGCUGGAGAAGUUAGGUAGAAAGGUAAAGGGCUGAAAAAGGAGGAAUCUGAUAAGAGAGUAGACAGUGGGAGAAAGGGAAGGUGAUCAACACACAGGCUGAAGGACCACAAUGAGAAACAGCACAAAUAAAAGAUGCAGUGUCAGCCAAGACCAAAGUCCAAGACCUGUGAGUUAAUUGUCUCUGUAGUUAAACUCUGACCUUUAUAGAAAAAUCACUGGUUGUGGCUCACUUUGGCUUCACUGUUGUGCUUAACUUGUGUAUAAUUUAUGUUCUGUGUUUUCAGAAUCUACGUGAUGAUGCUGCAAUGUUUUUUUAAUUGUCCUUGUACUCACCGUACUUGUGUACAUGACAAUAAACUUGACUUCAAGCUUGA